CCUACGGGCGGCUGCAGUGGGGAAUAUUGCACAAUGGGCGCAAGCCUGAUGCAGCCAUGCCGCGUGUGUGAAGAAGGCCUUCGCGUUGUAAAGCACUUUCAGCGGGGAGGAAGGCGUUAAGGUUAAUAACCUUGGCGAUUGACGUUACCCGCAGAAGAAGCACCGGCUAACUCCGUGCCAGCAGCCGCGGUAAUACGGAGGGUGCAAGCGUUAAUCGGAAUUACUGGGCGUAAAGCGCACGCAGGCGGUCUGUCAAGUCGGAUGUGAAAUCCCCGGGCUCAACCUGGGAACUGCAUUCGAAACUGGCAGGCUAGAGUCUUGUAGAGGGGGGUAGAAUUCCAGGUGUAGCGGUGGAAUGCGUAGAGAUCUGGAGGAAUACCGGUGGCGAAGGCGGCCCCCUGGACAAAGACUGACGCUCAGGUGCGAAAGCGUGGGGAGCAAACAGGAUUAGAUACCCUAGUAGUC
rnacentral:rRNA from 1 species